rnacentral:snRNA from 1 species
AGCCACGCAGCGAGCACAAAGAGAACUAUUCUUUCGCCUUUUACUAAAGAAUAUUGUGUGCUCGCUGCAUUCAGUGGCAUACGUUUAUUUUCGGAGGGAGCUCUUUUCAAGGAGCUU